rnacentral:rRNA from 1 species
GAGUUUGAUUCUGGCUCAGAUUGAACGCUGGCGGCAUGCUUUACACAUGCAAGUCGAACGGCAGCACAGGGAGCUUGCUCCUGGGUGGCGAGUGGCGAACGGGUGAGUAAUGUAUCGGAACGUGCCUGGUAGUGGGGGAUAACUACUCGAAAGAGUGGCUAAUACCGCAUGAGAUCUUUGGAUGAAAGCGGGGGACCUUUGGGCCUCGCGCUACUGGAGCGGCCGAUAUCAGAUUAGGUUGUUGGUGGGGUAAAGGCCUACCAAGCCUGCGAUCUGUAGCUGGUCUGAGAGGACGACCAGCCACACUGGGACUGAGACACGGCCCAGACUCCUACGGGAGGCAGCAGUGGGGAAUUUUGGACAAUGGGCGCAAGCCUGAUCCAGCAAUGCCGCGUGCAGGACGAAGGCCUUCGGGUUGUAAACUGCUUUUGUACAGAACGAAAAGUCUCUGGCUAAUAUCUAGAGAUCCAUGACCGGUACNNAGA